CCUUCUUGUAUGGUGAACUAGAUGAAGAGAUAUAUAUGAAUCAACCUGAAGGGUUUGUGGUUAAAGGUCAAGAAAACAAAGUCUGUAAGUUAGUUAGAUCACUUUAUGGACUAAAACAGGCUCCAAAGCAAUGGCACGAGAAGUUUGACAACACAUUACUCUCUAAUGGAUUUAGAAUAAAUGAAUGUGAUAAAUGUGUUUAUGUCAAACAAUACAAGAAUGCUUAUGUCAUCAUAUGCUUGUAUGUGGAUGAUAUGCUUAUAAUGGGUACUAAUCUGGAUGUGAUCAAUCAAACCAAGAAAAUGCUACACUCCUCCUUUUCCAUGAAAGACUUGGGAGUAGUAGAUGUGAUCCUUGGUGUAAGAGUUCAAAGAAGACCAGAUGGAUAUACUCUUACUCAGUCCCAUUAUAUUGAAAGUGUACUCAAGAAGUUUGGACACUAUGAUGACAAGCCGGUUGUCACCCCAUUUGAUGCUUCUAGUCAUCUAAAGAAGAAUAAAGGUGAUACUGUAGCUCAGUUAGAAUAUACUCAAGUUCUCGGCAGCUUGAUGUAUAUUAUGAAUUGUACUAGACCGGACUUGGCUUAUAGUGUAAGUAGAUUGAGUCGUUACUCCCACAAUCCUGGGAAAGAUCAUUGGUAUGCAUUAGUAAGAGUGCUUAGAUAUUUAAAGCAUACAAUGAACUAUGGACUGCAUUACACGAAAUAUCCUCCUGUUCUUGAAGGGUAUUGUGAUGCAAAUUGGAUUUCCAAUACUUCUGAGGCAAAAUCCACAAGUGGAUAUGUGUUCACUCUUGGUGGAGCUGCUAUCUCUUGGAAAUCAUCUAAGCAAACUGUGAAUACUCGUUCUACAAUGGAAGCAGAGUUUGUUGCUUUAGAUAAAGCUGCUGAAGAAGCUGAAUGGCUUAAAAGCUUCCUAGAAGGUAUUCCUCUGUGGCCUCAACCUGUUACUGCCAUUGGCAUACAUUGUGAUAGUAUGGCUGCUCUUACUAGAGCACAAAGUCAAAUAUACAAUGGCAAGUCGAGACACAUUAGGCGCAGACAUAUUACAAUACGAGACUUGCUGAAGAAUGGAAUCAUUUCCAUUAGUUACAUAAAGUCAAAGGAAAAUAUAGCUGAUCCCUUGACAAAAGGCCUGAGUAGAGAGCAAGUUCUCUUCACAUCGAGGGGAAUGGGCUUAAAGCCAACACAAUGAGUCACCACCUUGCGGAAACCUAACCUAGCAACAUUGGAGAUCCCAUGGUCUAGGUUCAAUAGGACAACUAGUUGGGGAAGACUCAAAGAAGCACUAACACAAAGGUAUGCUCACUCCCAUGAUAUUUGUUUUGUGUUUUUCCGUUGAUGUUAUAGGGAUGAAUGCUUUAUUCUUAAUAAUGCUGAUAGCUUCUACAGUGGAAUAAGUACGGAUUAUUCCAGAUUAGCAUUACCUAUGUGAGAUGGAUGUGAGGUCGCAUCUUUGGGAGCUGAUAUGGCUAAAGCUCUCUAAAAGUCUCAUGAAGAAAGGAUCGUUCAUGACCGAAAUGAACACAACGGUAAGAAAUGAUCUAUGCUUAGAUAUGAUAUGUGUGAUACUUCUUGUUUUUUAUUCUACUAUAAAAAGUGGUUAGUUCAAGACUCUAGUUCACUACCCACAAAGUAGAUCCAAGUAGUACUCACUAUGAAAGGUUCAAGUUUUACAACACCUAUUCAGAUGCAUGUCAUAUCUUACUUCCCUUAUUUGAAUAUCAAAGUUCACUUAUUUUCUAUUCAAAUGUGGGGUAUUAUUGGAGUUUGAAUAGAAAAUGUGGGGUAUUGUUGGAACUUUGACUACAAAAUUACAAUGUGGGACUUAUCCCACAUUGGUGGAAGAGAAAACCUUCUCCCACCUUAUAUGUCUAGUCCUACUCAUUUAACUAAAUGGGUCAAGUAAGGGGUUAAGCAUAUUGGGCUUGGGUUGUGGUGUUGGAUUAGCCUAAUUGGAUUGAAAAUGGGCUAAUAUCAAGAGAAUAUUUAAUGGUCAAAAGAUGGGCCUUGGGCCUUGGGGCUCUUGGGGUCUUCCUGAUUAAUUAGAUAAUUUUUAAUUACGAAAUUAAUUUUUAUUUUUUUAUUAUUAAAUUCGUAAUUACUGAAUGACAGGUUUUUAACAGUUAUUUUCGGUUUUGACAGUUUCCAACUGUCAUAACUAAUACCUAUAAAUACCUGUUUCAUUCAUCUGAAAGGGGUUGAAAAACAUCAUCAUUCACACCACAGAAUUCUCUUUAAAAAUUCGUUCUUCCAAAGAUGAAGGGAACAUAGGAAUUUCGUCAGAAUCAAGAGAAGUUCUUGAUUGAUUGUUGUAUCCUCUAGACAGAUCCCCACCAGGGAAAUUUCUGUCUUAGGACACUGCAAUUUGCAGGCCUCAAUCUACAUAAUUUCGUUUUUGUGUUUCUGUUGUAAGCAUAAACCAUCAAGUAUGUUUUCUGCAAACUGAUUCUUGUAUAUUUCAUACAUAUAUUUCAAUUUCGUUUGUUUUAUUUCUGUUAAUUUUGUUGAUUGUAUACUUCUGUAUUAACAAUCUAAGACAGAAAUUAAAAAGUGGAAGAAUGGAUCAACAAUCCAUCAUCAAAACACAUGUGGAAAAGCCUGAGAAAUUCAAAGGCUCAGAUUUUCGAAGAUGGCAACAGAAGAUGUUGUUUUAUCUAACAACUCUUCAUGUUUCCAAUGUUCUCACUGAUGAUUCUCCCUCUCCUCCUAUUGGUACAACCACUGCAGAAGGAACAACACCACCCAGUGAAGCCCAAAUGGCAGAACAUCAAAGGGCUGUGGAAACUUGGAACACAAAUGAAUAUAAUUGCAGAAAUUAUAUUCUAAAUGCCCUGGAUGAUUCUCUCUAUGAUAUCUACUCUACCAUGACUACUGCAAGAGAGAUAUGGGAAUCACUGGAAAAGAAAUACAAAACAGAAGUGGCAUGUUCCAAGAAAUUCGUGAUUGGAAAGUUCAUGAAUUUCAAGAUGGUGGAUACCAAAUCUGUCCUCAAACAAGUGGAGGAAAUUCAAGUCAUUGCACAUGAUCUUGAAGUUGAAGGUAUGGGUAUAAACUCUAAUUUUCUUGUUGGUUCAAUCAUUGAAAAACUUCCUCCUUCUUGGAAGAAUUUCAAAUUAUAUCUUAAGCACUUAACUGAUGACAUGAGUUUUGAGCAACUUGUGUUGAGAAUUCGUGUGGAAGAAGAUAACAGAUUGAAUGAGAAGGCAGAUGCAAAUUCCUUGGAACCAAGUGCAAACUUUGUUGGAGAAGCAAGUACUUCAAGGACAAAGCACAACAACAAGAAAGGGAAGCAAGGCUCCAAAAACUCUUCCAAAGAUGGCAAAAAUCAUGGCCCUAACAAGAAGAAUUUCAAGAAGAAUUCUGGUCCAUGCUAUGUUUGUGGCAAAAUUGGACACAAGGCCAAAGAUUGCAGAUUCAGGAGGGGUCAAGGAGGAAACAAUGGAGGAAAUAAUCGAGGGAACAAUGGAGGAAACAAUGGAAACAAUGGUGGCAAUUCUGGUGGAGGAAAUUCUGGUCAAGCCAACAUGGUUGAAUCACCAAAUCAAUUUGUUGCUGUGAUUCAAACCAACAUGGUUAGCAAUUGUGUGGAUUGGUGGAUUGAUACUGGAGCCACAAGGCACAUUUGCAACUCCCGAACCAUGUUUUCUACAUACCAGAAAGUCUCGGAUUCUGAACCAAUGUUUAUGGGGAAUGGCUCUACUGCAAAAGUUGAAGGAAAGGGAAAAGUGAAACUACAAUUGACUUCUGAAAAAGAACUUGUUUUAUGUGAUGUCUUGCAUGUUCCUGAAAUUACUAAGAAUUUGAUUUCUGGUCCUAUUCUUAGUAACAAAGGUUUCAAACUUGUAUUUGAAUCUGAUAAAUUUGUUCUCACCAAGGGUGGGAUGUAUGUUGGAAAGGGAUACCUUAGUGAGGGUCUCUUCAAAGUCAGUGUAUUACCUUUGUACUAUGGUGUUGAAACACCAAACAAUGAUGUAACCAAUAUUAAUGCUAAUGCAAUAAUGGGCACUACUAGCCCCUCUUCUAUGUAUAUGCAUGAUCCUUCAAUUUUGUGGCAUUCUCGUUUGGGACAUGUCAAUUUUCGUUCUAUUCAAAGAAUGGCAAAACUUGGCAUGUUACCAAAAUGUUCAUUAGAUAAAAAUUUAAAAUGUGAGGUUUGUGUAGAAUCAAAAUUUUCACAACAUCCUCAUAAAUCGGUUGAAAAAUCUAAUGAAAUACUUGGCUUAAUCCACUCUGAUUUAUGUGAUUUUAGAGCAACACCUACAAGAGGAGGAAAGAAUUAUUAUAUAUCCUUUAUUGAUGAUUGCAGCAAGUAUUGUUAUAUUUAUUUGUUAAAUACCAAAGAUGAAGCCUUGAAUUAUUUUAAGAAUUACAAGGCUGAAGUUGAAAAUCAACUUGACAAAAAGAUCAAAAUUCUAAGGUCUGAUCGAGGAGGAGAAUAUGAAUCCAAAGACUUUGCUGAAUUUUGUUCUUUAAAUGGUAUUAUUCAUCAAACAACUUCUCCAUAUACUCCCCAACAAAAUGGAGUGGCAGAAAGAAAAAAUAGAACAUUGAAAAACAUGAUUAAUUCAAAGUUAAUUACUUCUGGAGCACCAUAUAAUCUGUGGGGAGAAGCAUCUCUUGCAACAAAUUCAAUACUUAAUAGAAUUCCUCAUAAAAAGAGUGAUAAAUCACCCUAUCAUCUGUGGAAAGGGAGGUUACCCUCUUAUAAAAGGAUGAAAGUGUGGGGUUGCCUUGCUAAGGUACAAGUACCUCUUCCCAAGAGGACUAAACUUGGACCAAAAACCAUAGAUUGCAUCUAUCUUGGCCCUGCCAUGAAUAGUGCAGCCUAUAGGUUUCUUGUGUUUAAAUCACAUGUUGAUGAUAUCCAUAACCAAACCAUCAUGGAAUCAGCAGAGGCUGAAUUCUUUGAAAAUAUUUUUCCUUUUAAGAAUAAAGAGAAAGAGGUUACCUGCUCUAGGAAAAGACCUCUGGAUGAUGGACUAAAUGAUACCAUUUCAGACAAAAGUUUACAAUCAAAUGAAGAGAGCUCUUCUAAGGUUCAAGAAGAGAACUUAGAACCUAGAAGAAGCAAACGGGGCAAAAUAGCCAAAGAUUUUGGACCUGAUUACAUGACCUAUGUAGUGAAUAAGGAACCACAAACCUACAAGGAUGCUAUGGAUUCGUCUGAAGCUCCCUUUUGGAAAGAGGCAAUCAAAAGUGAGAUUGAUUCCAUUGUGCAGAAUAACACUUGGAAAUUGGUAGAUUUGCCACCUGGGCAAAAACCAAUUGGGCACAAAUGGAUAUUCAAGAAGAAGUUUAGACCUGAUGGUACCAUUGAGAAGUACAAAGCUCGUUUAGUGGCUAAAGGGUAUCGUCAAAAAGAGGGUCAAGACUUCUUUGACACUUAUUCACCUGUUACAAGAAUUACAUCAAUUCGCACAUUAGUAGCAAUUGCAGCCAUUCACAAUUUGGAAAUACACCAAAUGGAUGUGAAAACUGCUUUCUUGUAUGGUGAACUAGAUGAAGAAAUAUAUAUGAACCAACCUGAAGGGUUUGUGGUUAAGGGUCAAGAAAACAAAGUUUGUAAGUUAGUUAGAUCACUUUAUGGACUAAAACAGGCUCCAAAGCAAUGGCAUGAGAAGUUUGACAACACAUUACUCUCUAAUGGAUUUAGAAUUAAUGAAUGUGAUAAAUGUGUUUAUGUCAAACAAUACAAGAAUGCUUGUGUCAUCAUAUGCUUGUAUGUGGAUGAUAUGCUUAUAAUGGGUACUAAUUUGGAUGUGAUCAAUCAAACCAAGAAAAUGCUACAUUCCUCCUUUUCCAUGAAGGACUUGGGAGUAGUAGAUGUGAUCCUUGGUGUAAGAGUUCAAAAAAGAUCCGAUGGUUAUACUCUAACUCAGUCCCAUUAUAUUGAAAGUGUACUUAAGAAGUUUGGACACUAUGAUGACAAGCCGGUAGUCACACCUUUUGAUCCUUCAAGUCAUCUUAAGAAGAAUAAAGGUGAUAGUGUAGCUCAGUUAGAAUAUACUCAAGUUCUUGGUAGCUUAAUGUAUAUUAUGAAUUGUACUAGACCGGACUUGGCUUAUAGUGUAAGUAGAUUGAGUCGUUACUCCCAUAAUCCUGGAAAAGAUCAUUGGUAUGCAUUAGUGAGAGUGCUUAGAUAUUUAAAGCAUACAAUGAAUUAUGGACUGCAUUACACGAAAUAUCCUCCUGUUCUUGAAGGGUAUUGUGAUGCAAAUUGGAUUUCCAAUACUUCAGAGGCAAAAUCCACAAGUGGAUAUGUGUUCACUCUUGGUGGAGCUGCUAUCUCUUGGAAAUCAUCUAAGCAAACUGUGAAUACUCGUUCUACAAUGGAAGCAGAGUUCGUUGCUUUAGACAAAGCUGCUGAAGAAGCUGAAUGGCUUAAGAGCUUCCUAGAGGGUAUUCCUCUGUGGCCUCAACCUGUUACUGCCAUUGCCAUACAUUGUGAUAGUAUGGCUGCUCUUACUAGAGCACAAAGUCAUAUAUAUAAUGGCAAGUCGAGACACAUUAGGCGCAGACAUAUUACAAUAAGAGACUUGCUGAAGAAUGGAAUCAUUUCCAUUAGUUACAUAAAGUCAAAGGAAAAUAUAGCUGAUCCCUUGACAAAAGGCCUUAGUAGAGAGCAAGUUCUCUUCACAUCGAGGGGAAUGGGCUUAAAGCCAACACAAUGAGUCACCACCUGGCGGAAACCUAACCUAGCAACAUUGGAGAUCCCAUGGUCUAGGUUCAAUAGGACAACUAGUUGGGGAAGACUCAAAGAACCACCAACACCAAGGUAUGCUCACUCCUAUGAUAUCUAUUUUGUGUUUUUCCGUUGAUGAUAUAGGGAUGAAUUCUUUAUUCUUAAUAAUGCUGAUAGCUUCUAUAGUGGAAUAGUACGGAUUGUUCCAGAUUAGCAUUACCUAUGUGAGAUGGAUGUGAGGUCGCAUCUUUGGGAGCUGACAUGGCUAAGCUCUCUAAAAGUCUCAUGAAGAAAGGAUUGUUCACGACCGAAAAGAACACAACGGUAAGAAAUGAACCAUGCUUAGAUAUGAUAUGUGUGAUACUUCUUGUUUUUGAUUCUACUAUAAGAAGUGGUUAGUUCAAGACUCUAGUUCACUACCCACAAAGUAGAUCCAAGUAGUACUCACUAUGAAAGGUUCAAGUUUUCCAACACCUAUUCAGAUGCAUGUCAUAUCUUACUUCCCUUAUUUGAAUAUCAAAGUUCACUUAUUUUCUAUUCAAAUGUGGGGUAUUCGUGGAGUUUGAAUAGAAAAUGUGGGGUAUUGUUGGAACUUUGCUCUAUAAAAUUACAAUAUGGGACUUAUCCCACAUUGGUGGAAGAGGAAACCUUUUCCCACCUUAUAAGGCUU
rnacentral:lncRNA from 1 species